GCAAAGCAUGUGGCGGAAUAAUUGGUACAAUCAAGGAGAGGUCUUGCUUACCUGAAACCAGCAGUUGCAAGAUUUUUGCAUAAUGUCCUUUCACUUGGCAAGUGAUCUGAAUUAAUUGCUCAUAGGGUAAUAUAAGGAGCGGGGGUGGGGGUGAUACUGAGAGCUUCCUUCUUGACAGGACUGUUGUUUACCGUCAUUACCUCAUGUAAUUAUUAAGUCGAUUUUUUGCUAAAUGCUUAAUGUACGAAAAUGUUAUUCUCUGAAAGGAAACAUGCUGUAAAGGGCUCUUCCUGUCUUCAUCGUGAUCGACACUUGAAAAUACUUACUAAAGAAUACAUCCAAUAAAGGACUCCCCUCCACAACCCUUUGUGAUGAAAGGGUUUAUUCAGAAUGGAAAGUGGAGAGAAGUACACAAGAUAAAUAGCUCUAGCUGGACUAUUACUACAGUAUACUACAGUAUACUUCCUGUCCGGGUUGGUGCCCCCCCUUGGGUUGUGCCGUGGCGGAGAUCUUUGUGGGCUAUACUCGGCCUUGUCUCAGGAUGGUAAGUUGGUGGGUGAAGAUAUCCCUCUAGCGGUGUGGGGGCUGUGCUUUGGCAAAGUGGGUGGGGUUAUAUCCUGCCUGUUUGGCCCUGCCCGGAGUUAUCGUCGGAAGGGGCCACAGUGUCUCCCGACCCCUCCUUCUCAGCCUCCAGUAUUUAUGCUGCAGUAGUUUAUGUGUCGGGGGCUAGGGUCAGUCUGUUAUAUCUGGAGUAUUUCUCCUUUCUUAUCCGGUGUCCUGUGUGAAUUUAAGUAUGCUCUCUCUAAUUCUCUCUCUCUCUUUUUCUCUUUUUCUUUCUCUCUUUGUCUCUUUCUUUCUCUCUCUCGGAGGACCUGAGCCCUAGGACCAUGCCUCAGGACUAACUGGCCUGAUGACUCCUUGCUGUCCCCAGUCCACCUGGCCAUGCUGCUGCUCCAGUAUCAACUGUUCUGCCUGCGGCUAUGGAAUCCUGACCUGUUCCAGACUUGCUACCUGUCCUAGACUUGCUGUUUUCAACUCUCUAGAGACAGCAGGAGCGGUAGAGAUACUCUGAAUGAUCGGCUAUGAAAAGCCAAAUGACAUUUACUCCUGAGGUGCUGACCUGUUGCACCCUCGACAACCACUGUGAUUAUUAUUAUUUGACCCUGCUGGUCAUUAUGUUUUGUUAUAAUCUCCACCCGGCACAGCCGGAAGAGGACUGGCCAACCCUCAUAGCCUGGUUCCUAUCUAGGUUUCUUCCUAGGUUCUGGCCUUUCUAGGGAGUUUUUCCUAGCCACCGUGCUUCUACACCUGCAUUGCUUGCUGUUUGGGGUUUUAGGCUGGGUUUAUGUACAGAACUUUGUGACAUCAGCUGAUGUAAGAAGGGCUUUAUAAAUACAUUUGAUUGAUUGAUUGAUUGAUUGAUUGACUACAAACCCCAGGUUCCAUUUCACCUCCCAGGAUGCAAUGCUCCACCCAGUCUGCAGUUAGUUUAGCAUUCUAGCAAGCCCAGACAAAGCUUGUGUCAUAAAUUAUGAGUGCAUUUCACCUUACUUUUGGGUUGUAAUCAUUUUAUAAUGGUUACAUGAAUAUCAUGCUGAAUAUAUGUUCAUGUCAGUAACCACAUUUCCAUCAAACCAUAAGAUGUGGAUAAAUUACCUUACCCACUAAAACAGUCACGACCAGGCUGACAGAAACGGACGUGGAAUUUUAUGAAUUCUGCCGACAGACAAUUUGUUCGUUCGACAUGGUGGAAUCUUUUUGAAUCUGUAAAACUAAUUAUGCGAGAAAUGACGGUGGAAACGCCUUUAUGUGCAAAUAUUGAUAUAAUAACCAUCAUAUUGAAGUAAACAUGGAGCUAUGCGACGAUAUGUUGUGUGGUCCUCCCACUACGACUGGGAAAAGCAUGCAAUUUAUUAUGCUACAUAUUAAAUAAGUUACAAUGAACUUCACAGGGUGGUGAAUGUGUAAGGUGAUCAGCUUGAUGCUCCUUUCCAAUAAGCUAUAUGGAAUUGUUUUAAGAAGGUCAUACCAAGGAUCAUUUCGCUAUUUGAGUUGACAUUUUAAGACCCCUUGAAGUAUAAAAAAUAUAUAUAAAUAUAUAAAGAACAAUUACCUUCCCUGUGGCUCAGUUGGUAGAGCAUGGUGUUUGCAAUGCCAGCAUGGUGUGUGCAACGCCAGGGUUGUGGGUUUGAUUCC
rnacentral:lncRNA from 1 species